rnacentral:rRNA from 1 species
AGUCACUGACAUUAGAUACCCGGGUAGUCCCAGCUGUAAACUAUGCUCGCUAGGUGUCAGGCAUGGCGCGACCGUGUCUGGUGCCGCAGGGAAGCCGUGAAGCGAGCCACCUGGGAAGUACGGCCGCAAGGCUGAAACUUAAAGGAAUUGGCGGGGGAGCACAACAACGGGUGGAGCCUGCGGUUUAAUUGGACUCAACGCCGGACAACUCACCGGGGACGACAGCAAUAUGUAGGCCAGGCUGAAGACCUUGCCUGAAUUGCUG